AUUGAACGCUGGCGGCAGGCCUAACACAUGCAAGUCGAACGGUAACAGGAAGAAGCUUGCUUCUUUGCUGACGAGUGGCGGACGGGUGAGUAAUGUCUGGGAAACUGCCUGAUGGAGGGGGAUAACUACUGGAAACGGUAGCUAAUACCGCAUAACGUCGCAAGACCAAAAAGGGGGACCUUCGGGCCUCUUGCCAUCGGAUGUGCCCAGAUGGGAUUAGCUAGUAGGUGGGGUAACGGCUCACCUAGGCGACGAUCCCUAGCUGGUCUGAGAGGAUGAGCAGCCACACUGGAACUGAGACACGGUCCAGACUCCUACGGGAGGCAGCAGUGGGGAAUAUUGCACAAUGGGCGCAAGCCUGAUGCAGCCAUGCCGCGUGUAUGAAGAAGGCCUUCGGGUUGUAAAGUACUUUCAGCGGGGAGGAAGGGAGUAAAGUUAAUACCUUUGCUCAUUGACGUUACCCGCAGAAGAAGCACCGGCUAACUCCGUG
rnacentral:rRNA from 1 species